UACGUAGGGGGCAAGCGUUGUCCGGAUUUAUUGGGCGUAAAGAGCUCGUAGGCGGCUCGUCGCGUCGACCGUGAAAACCCGCGGCUUAACUACAGGCUUGCGGUCGAUACGGGCGGGCUGGAGUUCGGUAGGGGAGACUGGAAUUCCUGGUGUAGCGGUGAAAUGCGCAGAUAUCAGGAGGAACACCGGUGGCGAAGGCGGGUCUCUGGGCCGAUACUGACGCUGAGGAGCGAAAGCGUGGGGAGCGAACAGG
rnacentral:rRNA from 1 species